UGUAGUUCCUUUACCCGACUUUCGUACCCAGACCGACCCAAGUCCAGGGCAGAAAACCCAGUACUGUUUAUUGCAAUAGUGUUACCGUCUCGUCUCAAAAGCAUCAGAUUAGCAGGUGGAUCGAAACGGUUCUGCAUAAUUUCGGCCACCUCGCGGCUUUUCCGCCUCCUCUCUCGCCUCGAUCGCUUGAGAACCACGAGAAAGAAGCAAUCCUUCUCAUAAGAAACCGCCGUGAAAUCGAUCUUUCCGGUGACGGGGAUUCUUGAGCCACGCCUCUUGCGGUCCGCGAGAUAAAUAGAGAACUGGUGAGGAGAGAGACCGAGUUUCUCAACGAUAAUCGAUUGGAAAACUUUGAAAUUCAAAGAAGGGGAAACGACGACGUCACCAAGGCUGGUCUCCUGUUCGCCGUCGAAGAACACAACCGGAAACGACGCUCCCUUGGCCUCCAUCAUCAUUGGCUAAAUAACGUCAAGAGAUUGGGUGAGUUUAAGGGUUUGAGGGCAUGAAAGCGAAGAGGAUUAGCUGGCAAAGUAUCAGAGAAGAGGGUUUAUAUAUAUAAAUGGCGGGUUUAGGCGAAAGGGGAUGAAACGGUAAAUGUAGAGAGGCGGUUAGGGUAUUUUCGGAAUAAAAAAAUUAGUAACCAGAGAGCGUGAGAGGAAACCAGGCGGUUUCGGUACAUUUACUGACUUGGUGACCAAGUAAGUUACGGGAAACUGCAAAAACGACGCGUAGCGAUGGGUUUGUGUGAGUUCCUACCAAAUCCCCAAGCAUAUCGCUUCUCGGGUCGAAAUUGCCCUCCAAAGUUUGGCAAAUUUGCGAGCGUGCCACUUUUGACGUGGAAGAAUAAACGCCGGAAAGUGGCUGCUUCGUUGUCUCUAACAGCCUUAUCAAUGGAAACGCCUCCUCAAGGGUACAGAAGGAAUGUUGGGAUUUGUCUCGUUAAUCCCUCCAAAAAGAUCUUUGCUGCUUCGAGGAUUAACAUACCGGACACAUGGCAAAUGCCUCAGGGUGGCGCUGAUGAAGGUGAGGACCUUAGGAAUGCAGCGAUGAGAGAAUUAAGGGAAGAAACAGGUGUUACUUCAACUGAGUUUCUUGCAGAGGCUCCAUACUGGCUG
rnacentral:misc_RNA from 1 species